rnacentral:rRNA from 1 species
AUUGAACGCUGGCGGCAGGCCUAACACAUGCAAGUCGAACGAGUGGCGGACGGGUGAGUAAUGUCUGGGAAACUGCCUGAUGGAGGGGGAUAACUACUGGAAACGGUAGCUAAUACCGCAUACCAUCAGAUGUGCCAAGAGGGGCUGAGCUUGUUUGGGGGGUAACGGCACACCAAGGGGACGAUCCCUAGCUGGUCUGAGCGGAUGACCAGCCACACGUUAACUUGGACACGGUCCCGUCUCCUACGUGAGGAAGCAGUGGGGAAUAUUGCACAAUGGGCGCAAGCCUGAUGCAGCCAUGCCGCGUGUAUGAAGAAGGCCUUCGGGUUGUAAAGUACUUUCAGCGUGGAGGCGUUACCCGCAGAAGAAGCACCGGCUAACUCCGUGCCAGCAGCCGCGGUAAUAC